rnacentral:rRNA from 1 species
GGAAGUAAAAGUCGUAACAAGGUUUCCGUAGGUGAACCUGCGGAAGGAUCAUUAUCGAGUUUUGAACGGGUUGUCUGCUGGCUCGCAAGGGCAUGUGCACGCCUGUCUCAUCCACUCUCAACUUCUGUGCACUUUUCAUAGGCCGGCUUGUGGGUGCGUUCGCGCACUUGUAGGUGUCGGGCUUAUGCUUUAUUACAAACGAUUCAGUUUUAGAAUGUCAUACUUUGCUAUAACGCAAUUUAUAUACAACUUUCAGCAACGGAUCUCUUGGCUCUCGCAUCGAUGAAGAACGCAGCGAAAUGCGAUAAGUAAUGUGAAUUGCAGAAUUCAGUGAAUCAUCGAAUCUUUGAACGCACCUUGCGCUCCUUGGUAUUCCGAGGAGCAUGCCUGUUUGAGUCUCAUGGAAUUCUCAACCUUCAGCUUUAUUGAUGAAGGCUUGGACUUGGAGGUCGUGCCGGCUCUCGUAGUCGGCUCCUCUGAAAUGCAUUAGUGCGAACGUUACCAGCCGCUUCAGCGUGAUAAUUAUCUGCGUUGCUGUGGAGGGUAUUCUAGUGUUCACGCUUCUAACCGUCUUCGGACAAAUUUCUGAACUCUGAGCUCAAAUCAGGUAGGACUACCCGCUGAACUUAAGCAUAUCAAUAAGCGGAGGA